AUGUGGCCCAGUGGUCUGCCUUGGGUUACGAAACCAAAAACAAGAACACAGGGAAUGGGAUAGAAAAUUCCCUGCAAAGGUAUCCCCCCACAACCAAACCAGGCAGUUUAGGGCAAAUUGUCCACAUCCCUGCCUGGUCCUUUAGCUUGAGGCAACAGCAGCGCUGAGAUCUGGGGAACAAGAGAGCUUCAUUGAUUCAGACAUUCCUUAAAGGUUACACGUCUCACAUCUGCUUUCCCUGCAGACAAACAGAAAGAGAGGUAGAAAAAAACUUCCAGGAGGGCUCACAAAAAAGCAGUGCAGUCUAUUCCAGGACUAUGAGAGGGUUUGCAUUCAAAUGAUGCUGCAUCCUGAGCCAUCCGGAUGGGAACCGAGGUGGGAGUCUGACCAUCUGGAGACGUGGUGCAGCCAAAUCAACCUCGAGCUCUCAACGCUCUGACAGUGGAGAUGGUUUUAGAUUU
ensembl:lncRNA